CGGCUGCCCUUCCUGGAUGACUCUCUGUCAUCGAUCAGAAUCAAAUGUAAAUGCUGAGUGGCCAUGUGGACUCUCAUCUGCUACUUCUCCAAAUGGCGCACUGCUUUAGAACAGAGACAGUCAUACUGGUUUUGGUGGCACAAGUCCAAGCAUAGUGUUUUGCACACAACAGGUUUCCAGAGGUCAAACAACCUCAGGUCCAGACGUACUACGAAUGCAACUGUAAUAGUUUCAGAGCAAUUAUCUCUUUCCAGCUUUGCAGGGCGGAACAACUCAAACUCUGGAGCCAGGCUAGUAAGAAAUCCUUUUAU